rnacentral:rRNA from 1 species
AGAGUUUGAUCAUGGCUCAGAACGAACGCUGGCGGCGCGUUUUAAGCAUGCAAGUCGAACGAGUAGCCAAAGUGCUUGCACUUUGGUGAGAGUGGCGAACGGGUGAGUAACACGUAGAUAAUCUGCCCUCGGUUUGGGGAUAGCCCAUGGAAACAUGGAUUAAUACCGAAUAUUCUCUUGGUUCAUAAGAACCGUAGAGUAAAGAUCCUAAGGGAUCGACUGAGGAUGAGUCUGCGGCCCAUUAGCUAGUUGGUGGGGUAAAGGCCUACCAAGGCGACGAUGGGUAGCCGGCCUGAGAGGGUGACCGGCCACACUGGGACUGAGAUACGGCCCAGACUCCUACGGGAGGCAGCAGCUAAGAAUCUUCCGCAAUGGACGCAAGUCUGACGGAGCGACGCCGCGUGAACGAUGAAGGCCGUGAGGUUGUAAAGUUCUUUUCAUGGGGAGGAAUAAGCAUAGGAGGGAAUGCCUGUGUGAUGACGUUAACCAUGGAAUAAGCCCCGGCUAAUUACGUGCCAGCAGCCGCGGUAACACGUAAGGGGCAAGCGUUGUUCGGAAUCAUUGGGCGUAAAGGGCACGCAGGCGGCAAAGCAAGUCUGAUGUGAAAGAUCCCGGCUUAACCGGGANAAGCGCAUUGGAAACUGCUUAGCUAGAGUGGUUUA